ensembl:snRNA U6 U6 spliceosomal RNA
GUGCUCACUUCGGCAGCACAUAUACUAAAAUUGGACCAAUACAGCGAAGAUUAGCAUGGCCCCUGAGCAAGGAUGACACGCAAAUUCAUGCAGCAUUCCAUAUUUUU